rnacentral:misc_RNA from 1 species
CGGUUCAGGAUUGAUUAAGAAGAAGGGCUUUAAAGGAUCAUUUGCAGAGGCUGGAUCUUGUGCGAAGACAUUUGCAGUUUUGUCUGGGGUACACAGUUUGGUUGUUUGCAUGUUAAAGAGGCUGAGAGGAAAGGAUGACGUUAUUAAUGCUGGAGUAGCUGGAUGCUGCACUGGUUUAGCUCUAAGUUUUCCAGGCGCUCCACAGGCUCUGCUUCAAAGUUGCAUAACUUUUGGAGCUUUUUCUUUUAUUCUAGAAGGCCUUAACAAGCAGCAGCCAGCACUGGCUCAUCCCGUUUUCUCGAGAAAGAGAAUCGAUAUGG